rnacentral:miRNA from 1 species
UAUGUACACGUGUGGAUAUGGGG